CUCCGUACCUGCCUCGCCGCUCCCUCCCAGCGUCCAGCCCUGCAAGCCGUCCCCCCCCCCGGAGGCGCGUCAGGUUUUUCACUUAGAAUGAAGACGUCCUAAUACAUUGCUAUGAGAAUUUACAGACUAAGAGGUUAACAGGACAAAAAGACUAAUUCCUCUAAGCCUCAAUUUUCCUGCCUGUGAAGUGGUGAAAAGGCAGCUUUCAAGCUGAAAGGCUGUGACUUUCCCAUUUUGACCCCACUAUGCCUCCAGAGACUGAUUCACCCUACUCAUUUGCCCUCUUAAUUGCAAACAAAAAAAAGAAGCAGACAUCGCAGAUAAAGUUACGAUCUUCGUUGACCUCUCAUCGUUCCAUCACACUCCUCGUCACCAUUUCUUGAAGCG